rnacentral:rRNA from 1 species
UACGUAGGGUGCAAGCGUUGUCCGGAAUCAUUGGGCGUAAGGCGCGCGUAGGCGGCCAGAUAAGUCCGGUGUGAAAGUCACAGGCUCAACCUGUGAAUGCCGCUGGAAACUGUCUGGCUUGAGUCCGGAAGGGGCGAGUGGAAUUCCUGGUGUAGCGGUGAAAUGCGCAGAUAUCAGGAGGAACACCAAUGGCGAAGGCAGCUCGCUGGAACGGUACUGACGCUGAGGCGCGAAAGCGUGGGGAGCGAACAGG